AUUGAACGCUGGCGGCAGGCCUAACACAUGCAAGUCGAACGAGUGGCGGACGGGUGAGUAAUGUAUGGGAAACUGCCCGAUGGAGGGGGAUAACUAAUGGAAACGGUAGCUAAUACCGCAUACCAUCAGAUGGGCCCAGAUGGGAUUAGCUAGUUGGUGGGGUAACGGCUCACCAAGGCGACGAUCCCUAGCGGGUCUGAGAGGAUGAUCAGCCACACGGGAACGGAGACACGGCCCAGACUCCGACGGGAGGCAGCAGUGGGGAAUAUUGCACAAUGGGCGCAAGCCUGAUGCAGCCAUGCCGCGUGUAUGAAGAAGGCCUUCGGGUUGUAAAGUACUUUCAGCAGGGAGGCGUUACCCGCAGAAGAAGCACCGGCUAACUCCGUGCCAGCAGCCGCGGUAAUUC
rnacentral:rRNA from 1 species